AUUUUGAAAUGUACCUGAUAAAAUUGGGGAAAGGACUACAUUAGCACCAUAAAAGUGUCCCUAUUUAGACCCUAGUAACUAGAAGACGUAGAUUUCAACAGCUUCUGCAAUUUAGGGAAGUUAUAUAGUUCUCUUCAGUUCAAAACUUUCUGAUCGCUACCCUAUAGUAAUGCCAUAUGUUUGAAACAACUUGCAUGGUGGACACCAGAGGUAGUCCUCUAUGAACUUAUUUCACACCUCAAGUAGCUGACCCUAAUUUUUUUAAACCAGAGGGUAAUGUUUCUAAACUGUGGGGUUGCUAGUGUGAAAGGGAAAAAGAAAAGAGAAUAAAAGAAAAUUGGGAAGGUCGUUUAGAGCCGUGCAUUGUACCUUUUCUGAUUUACCCAUUUAACUACAUGAGUAUGUGUCAAAUUUCUUUUAUCAUUGUGAAAUUCCAAUUAAUCAUUAGUUGAUGUUAAUUUUCUUCUAUGACCAUUUAGUUGAACGUUUAAUUUGAUUUUCGUCUAUUACCAUUCAAUGUAUCUAGGAUGUAUAUUUACUUAUUUAAUCUACUUUGAGUUUAUCAAUAGUUUGGUCAACUCCUUUUCUACUGCAGAAAUUUGGCACAGCAAAAGAGGA
rnacentral:misc_RNA from 1 species